CUUGCGGCUGCCCGGCGCCAGCUGUCUCUUUAAGAGAAGCGGAGCUCGCUGGCAAUUACGCAGCGGCAUGUGAGCGCAGCGGCUCAGCCUCCCUACCUCCCGCCCCGCCACAGCGCUGGGCGAAGCCGCGGCUCCAGCACCGGCCGGACCCGGCAUGGAGACUGAGGCAGGUCGCUGAGCGAGCCGGCGCCGGCUGCAGUGCCGCAGUGGGGAGGACCCGGCGGGCCCCGCUGAGCGAACUCAGCCCUUGGGUCGGCCCUAUGACUGCACACCGCCUUCCUGGCUGCUGCUCAGGGUGCAUUAAGCUGGAGUGCCAAUUAUCGCCAUUGCUAUGUCCCUGCCGGGAAGCAGACGGCCCUCCACCGGAUCUCGAAGGUGAGUACAUCUAGCCUCUUGUCCCUUCACAGACGAACCUGGAAUCUGCCCAGCACCUUUACUGUUAAAAGAGACAAACCAGGGACCAUUUUUCCUCUCCUCCCAAGUGCAUUAACGCAGCGAUUGCGCAGGAGUAGACCCAAGAGCGUUCAUUUAAAAAGGGUGGCUUGGAAGAUCCUUUUGGGGCUGUCCCCGCAGAGCUGUGAACAAACCAGGCUUGCACGUCUAGCCACUCUUCUGCACCACACUUGCACAACUGCUCCCACUCAUGCGAGCACACUUGCACUCAUGUCUCUCCACUGCUGUGAGCGAAGUCUGGCCCGUCUCUUCACUUCCGGUUCGCCAAGGGCAGGCGUUGAUGGAGCAACCUUUUCCUCAGCCGCUGGCGUGGCGGCUGUGAAUCUCUGAGAGGUCUGCCCCUAGAAGAGGUCUUCCCUAAGCUGCCAAGCUCUGUGUCCAGUCAGAGGAGUGGGGAGAAAUGUUCAUCGUUCCCACCCCCAGGAUGGGGGAGCCAUACAUCCAGAGUGGCCAGGCCAUGCCGUCGAACAAGAGAAACCAGAGGUGGCCCAUCAGACAGACGUGUUGGGAGCAGGGGGGUUAGUGUAGCUAUAAGUAAAAUGCAGUGAAAAGUGAACUGAAUUCCAGCAGGCUCGGGGAAGGGUUGGUCGCGGUAGCAGUGUGGAAAGGGGGUAGGGGUGGGAGAGGAGAGUGCUGAGUGGCUCCGCAUCAAGACACACGAUUGCUGUCAUUGGGUGCAAGACCCUGGCCAUAGGACGGGUGGAUUGUGCCCUUUGCCCAGCUCCUGUUGGCUGGGAACCCUUUGUGGGGCUGCUCAAGAGGUGUAAGAGCUCUUUGCUGCAAUGGGGCUGUAGGAGGGGGGCGAUGGGGCACAGCCUUCCCGGGAGACUAGAGGGCACCCCGUAGAGUUUGCAACUCAGCCCUCCCUUGAGCUACUGUCCCGAUAACCCUGCCAAGACAGCCUGGCUCUGUUCCAUCUUGAUCCCUGCUGUUUUGUUUUGUCCUUUUGUCUUUGUGUCUUUGGUGGUUUGGAAGCCGUGGCUUUUAUGGAAGGAGUGGCUUGGCCUCGUUCUUUAAGCCUUCAGCACCCCCUGCCACUCAGACUGAGAAACAGCCUCUUCUUCCUGCCUCCAGGC
rnacentral:lncRNA from 1 species